rnacentral:lncRNA from 1 species
GGUGAGUGAGAGAUAAGGUUGAACUUUGAACAUCAUGUGAAACGUUCAUUGGACUGAAUCUAAUUGAAGUCUUAAAAGCCGGAGUAUUGACUGAGCAUGAUCACUAAAGUUAAGACCGGUAGUUCUAUUGCCGGAUGAAGAGAAAAGUUUAUGAGAUUUUUAUCAUUCAAAUUAAUUUGUUAAUUCACUGACAGUUUUUGUUUCGGCAGACAUGUUACUUGAGGACAAGCAACAAUUCAAGUUUGGGGUUGU